rnacentral:rRNA from 1 species
GAUGAACGCUAGCGACAGGCUUAACACAUGCAAGUCGAGGGGCAGCAUGAUUUGUAGCAAUACAGAUUGAUGGCGACCGGCGCACGGGUGAGUAACACGUAUCCAACCUGUCCCAUACUCGGGGAUAGCCUUUCGAAAGAAAGAUUAAUACCCGAUGGUAUCAGAUUGAGGCAUCUUGAUUUGAUUAAAGAACUUCGGUAUGGGGUGGGGAUGCGUUCCAUUAGCUUGUUGGCGGGGUAACGGCCCACCAAGGCAACGAUGGAUAGGGGUUCUGAGAGGAAGGUCCCCCACAUUGGAACUGAGACACGGUCCAAACUCCUACGGGAGGCAGCAGUGAGGAAUAUUGGUCAAUGGACGAGAGUCUGAACCAGCCAAGUAGCGUGAAGGAUGACUGCCCUAUGGGUUGUAAACUUCUUUUAUAAGGGAAUAAAGUGCGCCACGUGUGGUGUUUUGUAUGUACCUUAUGAAUAAGGAUCGGCUAACUCCGUGCCAG